rnacentral:rRNA from 1 species
GCGGAUGAAGGGAGCUUGCUCCUGGAUUCAGCGGCGGACGGGUGAGUAAUGCCUAGGAAUCUGCCUGGUAGUGGGGGAUAACGUCCGGAAACGGGCGCUAAUACCGCAUACGUCCUGAGGGAGAAAGUGGGGGAUCUUCGGACCUCACGCUAUCAGAUGAGCCUAGGUCGGAUUAGCUAGUUGGUGGGGUAAAGGCCUACCAAGGCGACGAUCCGUAACUGGUCUGAGAGGAUGAUCAGUCACACUGGAACUGAGACACGGUCCAGACUCCUACGGGAGGCAGCAGUGGGGAAUAUUGGACAAUGGGCGAAAGCCUGAUCCAGCCAUGCCGCGUGUGUGAAGAAGGUCUUCGGAUUGUAAAGCACUCGAAGUUGGGAGGAAGGGCAGUAAGUUAAUACCUUGCUGCGUUGACGUUACCAACAGAAUAAGCACCGGCUAACUGCGUGCCAGCAGCCGCGGUAAUACGAAGGGUGCAAGCGUUAAUCGGAAUUACUGGGCGUAAAGCGCGCGUAGGUGGUUCAGCAAGUUGGAUGUGAAAUCCCCGGGCUCAACCUGGGAACUGCAUCCAAAACUACUGAGCUAGAGUACGGUAGAGGGUGGUGGAAUUUCCUGUGUAGCGGUGAAAUGCGUAGAUAUAGGAAGGAACACCAGUGGCGAAGGCGACCACCUGGACUGAUACUGACACUGAGGUGCGAAAGCGUGGGGAGCAAACAGGAUUAGAUACCCUGGUAGUCCACGCCGUAAACG